UAUUGGUGAUGCGAAUAAUAGAUGACAACUGACUUGAAUCUCUUCCAUGUAUGAUAGAGAUUUCCAUUUGUCUUUUAUUUUAAACUUAGGAUUUCACUCCUCAAAUU